UACCAGCACCCCGAGUGGUCGGGACGAUUAUUGGGCCUAAAGCAUCCGUAGCCGGUUUUACAAGUCCUCCGUUAAAUCCAACUGCUUAACAGAUGGGCCGCGGAGGAUACUAUAAGACUAGGAGGCAGGAGAGGCAAGCGGUACUUAGUGGGUAGGGGUAAAAUCCGUUGAUCCAUUGAAGACCACCAGUGGCGAAGGCGGCUUGCCAGAACGCACUCGACGGUGAGGGAUGAAAGCUGGGGGAGCAAACCGG
rnacentral:rRNA from 1 species